rnacentral:lncRNA from 1 species
GCAGCCUAUGCCAAAGUACAUCAAGUUUUCUCGAGCAGUGAGUGUAUUGUUUCACAGUCGAUAAACUUUUUGCUUAGGUAAAUUGCGUGCUCUUUUCGACAAGACUAGUCAUACUGACUCAAUACGCACCUCAUAGACCCCUUAAGGGCUGUCAGGUACCAGAUUAGCAGUCGUUUCUUCCCCGGAAGGUAUCAGAAUCAGAGGUUCCUACUAUUCCUUUUUUUUUGUCUUUCCAUGCCCCUUGGCAGUCCUCAUUCCACCUGACCAUUUGAUUUCUUUCUUUUUUGUUUAUUUUUGGUUCAGGCGUUUCUAGUACUUUUCUUUUUUUUUUUUUUUUUUUUUGCAGGAUCGACCUCGAUUCCUCUUUCAUUCGCAACAUGCCUCGGCAGCUUGCUGGACAGCACUCCAUAAGUGCGCUAAUUCGAACUCAACAGUAUGAGUUAUCUCUACCUGUCAAACAACUUGAUCCACCGGAUGCCCCUCUUCUGCUUGGGACUUUGCCAUCAUGUCAUCAACAUGGCAUUUGC